UAUACAAAACUAAACAAAGAGGUAAAGAGGAUGGCAAGAACCGACAAAAGAGAACAGCAAGAUAUUAUACAGUAAAUAUUUGUCAAAAGUGUUAUUCAAUUUACUCGUGCUUCUGUUGCUUAAAAUACAAACUAGCAUUGGUAAAAAAAAAUAAAAUAAAAAUAAGAUGCAGAAAUGAUAGAAAUACUGUACAUUGCAUGUAAUCAUGCAUGUGAUCCGACCAUACUAGUAAGCUUUAUAAGUCAACCGCACUAGAGAAAGAUUAUGUUUUGUUUUUACUGUCUGUGUUUCAUCUUUUGGUGCAUGAUGACUGUGACCGCUUCCUCAGUCUUCUUGGUCCGUGGUUGGAAACACCAGUUUCUUACUCAAGAUGCUGGGGCCAAGCGAGGUUACCGGAAAAGAGAAAAAAUUUAAUAAACUUUGAAGCUAA